rnacentral:lncRNA from 1 species
UGGUGAUCGUUGGCGGAGAACUUCGUUGCCACAGACAGGCCUAGAUUACAGAUGGCCUUUAUGCCUCUGGAUUUUAAAAAGAAUAUCAUCAUCAUCAUCAUCACCAUUGUCAUCAUCAUCGUCGUCAUCAUCAUCAUCAUCAUCAUCAUCAUCUAUGUGGGGGGCUUUCUCGACAGAUUCUGAACAACAAUUUUCAACUUAGAGCUUUGAAGAUGAUAGAAGUCCAGAAUAUUCAAAACUAAUCUGUGUAUUAGAAUGAGCAAUAGGAAGAUCCAUGUCUGGUGGGCAAAAAGGCCCCAAAAAAUUAAAGAAUACAACAUGCAGAGCUGCUGGCAGGUAACCAUGGGGCA